GCCUCUGUAGCUCAGUCGGUAGAGCAGUGGACUGAAAAUCCACGUGUCGCUGGUUCAAUUCCGGCCGGAGGCA
rnacentral:tRNA from 1 species